rnacentral:tRNA from 1 species
GCCACCUUAGCUCAGUUGGCCAGAGCAGCGGUUUUGUAAACCGCAGGUCGUGGGUUCGAGUCCCACAGGUGGCU